rnacentral:rRNA from 1 species
AGCGAACGCUGGCGGCAGGCUUAACACAUGCAAGUCGAGCGGGCAUCUUCGGAUGUCAGCGGCAGACGGGUGAGUAACACAUGGGAACGUACCCUUCGGUUCGGAACAACUCUGGGAAACUGGAGCUAAUACCGGAUACGCCCUUAUGGGGAAAGGUUUACUGCCGAAGGAUCGGCCCGCGUCUGAUUAGCUAGUUGGUGGGGUAACGGCCUACCAAGGCGACGAUCAGUAGCUGGUCUGAGAGGAUGAUCAGCCACACUGGGACUGAGGCACGGCCCAGACUCCUACGGGAGGCAGCAGUGGGGAAUAUUGGACAAUGGGCGCAAGCCUGAACCAGCCAUGCCGCGUGAGUGAUGAAGGCCUUAGGGUUGUAAAGCUCUUUUGUCCGGGACGAUAAUGACGGUACCGGAAGAAUAAGCCCCGGCCAACUUCGUG